UGAACAGAAGAGCGCACAGGCACGAUCCCACUGCGAACUAGUAGUAAAGGAUGGCAAUGCAGGUCAGUGGAAAAAUUUAGCCGGCUCUAUCUGGAUCACGCGAUCCGACAGCUCAGGCGGUCAUCAUGUCCCAUUUUUGACCCUCUGCACAUUCCCCGAGUCUUCUGUGCAUGUGCAUGUGUGGAGAAGGCAUGCACGCUCACAUUUGUGAACCAGUAGCGAAGGGCGACUGAAUGGAACUGAGCGUUUACUGGCCAGAUGCCUUUCCUGACACUUAUGUGGAACUCACAGCAGUUGACAAGAAAUUGCUAUGAGGAAAAAGUUGGUUGCUGUUCAUGAAAUGGAAGCCUGCAGUGAAUACUUGUCAGUGCUGAUACACCAUGAUUGAAGUUUUGACUGCCAAAGAAGUCGACUGAAAUUCACCACCAAGGAUAAAUUGUUUAUGGUGAUGAUUGCAUCCGGGCUCACCUAGAGGAAAAUUGCUUUUAGAUACAGUUCAAAUCUUUAAUACCAAUAUCAAAACGAAGUUUGAACUAAAUAAGUGUGCAACACCAUCAAGUAAAAUGGAAUACUUACUUUACAUGGGAUUGAACUUUACAAUGGCACUAAAAUCAAAGCAUUGACAUUGCCUUAGGGAGUUUGGGAUGUUUUAGAAGCAAUCAAUAUGUUGCAGGCCCAAAUGAAGAGGUAGUCAAUAACAAAUAUAUAAAAGGAGCUAGAUACAUUUUAAAAUUGAAUAUAAAUGGUGAUAAGAGCUGUGGUUCCGCAGUGGUUAGAAUGCAGAAUUGCAGGCUAAUUCUGCUGGCUGCCAGAAAUUUGGCAGUUUGAUUCUCACUGGCUCAAGGUUGACUCAGCCUUCCAUCCUUCCAAAGUCAUUAAAAUGAGAACCCAGAUUUUUCGGGGCAAUAGGCUGACUCUGUACACCUGCUAGAGAGGGCUGUAAAGAACUGUGAAGUGGUAUAUAAGUGAAAGUGCUAUUGCUAUAAUACAAUUAGAAUAAUUAAUACUUGUAUGUUUAUGACACUAUACAAAAAUAGAUAUAGAUUGCUUGUAUUGAUUUGUUGCAAGUGAAGCAGGUUUUUGCUUCUCUUAAGAAACAUCCAGCAUUGUAAACAUGGUAUCAUCAUUUUUUCUAAAA